ACUGGACCCACUGAAUUCUGACAGUUCUGACAGACUGGAACAAGCUACACCAUGAAGAUCUUCUUGCUUUUCCUCACCACCAUGAUGGUUACUGCAGCACCUCAUGCACCUUCAUCAGAUGGACAUAAACUUAAGCGUUUGAUUUUAGAAGAAAUCAUUCAAAGUAUAAAGGACGUGAAAGACAGCCUAACAGCAGAGAUUUUUGUCCAAAAAGUUAUAACAACUGAACACUGCACUCAUAAGAACUUCUGCAAUGCAGGUAAUAUCCUGUCGGUGUAUAAAGCAGAGGAUCUCGGACUAAAAGAAAAAGACUGGCUGCUGCCCAGGAAACUUGUAGCCUACACCAGGAUAUGUACUGAUGGGGUUUGUGGAAUUUCCCCUUUAAAGGUGCAAAAAGGUUGAACAAUUGUCCUCUUGAGAAUUAACACUACUAAUACAGUGUAAUUCAAAAUCAUCAAGACAUAAAAGAAAGCACUUACAAGCACUUUAGAAAGACAUGUGAGCACAAUGUAUGUGGACCUUCUAAUCUGAAAAAUCUUAAUACAAUAGUAAACACAUCAUUUUAAUUUAAAUGAAAAUAACUGUGACUGUUUCACCUGCAGGACAUUACCUGCAAGGAGCCAGCAUCAGUGGACAAAGUUAAACUUCACCAACUUCUGGAUAUCAUACGGCAGUGCGCUCAGAAGGAGUACACAAAUUCUUAAAGUUUUGAGAUCUUAAGGUUUAUUUAACCUUCGAGUGUUUUAAUGCAAACACAUUACAUGAUAUAUAGGCAUUUUGCAUAUUGCUCACAAUGUGGCAUUAAUGAUUAAUCUUUCCUCUUUUUUCACAAUUCAUUUCAUAAUGUGGUUUUAAAUUAGGGAUUGAAAUAUUUGCAAAAUGUAAAUACAAAUGCUAUUUUAAAAAUAAAUUCUAAUAAAAAACAAG
ensembl:lncRNA